CCGUUAAAUGGUUUGCUGAGAGCCUAGAAUCUCAGGUUUCAAGCCCAUUAGUCUCAUGUUUCCUUCCUUCUUUUGUUAAGCACUUAUUUUCGAUGCGAUUUGUUUUUUUCCAGGUCUAUUUGUUUCUUAUACUGCUGUUUUACCUUUCCUUUUUGUUUCUUUGUAUUUGAAAGGAUCUUCUGGUGAUCCCUUUGUUUGGAUUAUUAGCCUAUUCUUGAAGGUGUUGACAUUCCCUAUUGGAGAUUUAGCUUUUGCUGGGUGAAUGAUUGUUACGGUAGAUUUAGAGCUCUAUUAGAACUACGCUCUUCUCUCAGGCUAUUUGUUCAUCAUGAUUUCAUUUAGGAAUGCAAUGGCAUUGCGUUAUUUUGGUAGUCCUAUAUAUUUUAAGGAGAAGAACAAAGGGAAGGUCCAUUGUCAAAAUAUUAAUGUGUCUCAAGGGACAUGGAAAAUCUGUACUUAUGAGAUGGGGCAAUUGGUUCAGUGAGG
rnacentral:misc_RNA from 1 species